UACGAAGGGACCUAGCGUAGUUCGGAAUUACUGGGCUUAAAGAGUUCGUAGGUUGUUAAAAAAGUUGGUGGUGAAAUCCCAGAGCUCAACUCUGGAACUGCCAUCAAAACUUUUUAGCUAGAGUAUGAUAGAGGAAAGCAGAAUUUCUAGUGUAGAGGUGAAAUUCGUAGAUAUUAGAAAGAAUACCAAUUGCGAAGGCAGCUUUCUGGAUCAUUACUGACGCUGAGGAACGAAAGCAUGGGUAGCGAAGAGG
rnacentral:rRNA from 1 species